CCACUUUCACAUCUAUGAAGUUCAGUGUGGCUGGAUUUAUGUUGAGGUCUUUGAUCCAUUUGGACUUGAGCUUUGUGAAUGGCAAUAGAUAUGGAUCUUUGCCACAUGUUGACAUGCAAAAACUGGAUAUUUUUAAGGAACAGCUUUAAGCUAUUUAGAUUCAUAAGGCUAUGGGACUUUUUAAGUUUAUAAAAUGUUUUACAUUAUUAAUAUAUGAAUUUAAAAAUAAAUCAAAGCUUAGAAAUUCAGGCCACAGUAUGAGCAUCAGACACUAACCACUAGAAUCUGGGAUGUUCCUUUCUUAUGAUGUAGCAAGACAAUGACCUAAGCAAUCUGGCAAAGGGCUUGGAGCAGCAUCUCAACCUAUGGCUCAUGACCCUUUAGGGGUUGCAGGGUAGCCUAGGACCACCUGCAUGUUGGAUGCUUGCAUUAAAGUUCAUAUCAGUGGCAAAACUGCAGUUGUGAAACAGCAACGAGAAUGACUUUCUGGUUGGAAGGUCACCAUAGCAUGGGGAACUGUGUUGAAGGGUCGCAGCAUUAGGAAGGUUGAGAAUGACUGGCUCAGAGACUGUUUCUCCUUACGUAAGGUCUACUCAUGCUAAAGGACAUAUGUCUAGCCUCUUUGUCUUUGCUAACUUUGUUAAGCUUAAGCUAUUUUAAUAAGCUAAGUCAUAUAAAAAUUGUUAUAUUCUGUUAUGGUUUAUUAUAAAAGGAUCAGGAAUUUUCUCAGUUUCUUUGAUCUGUGUUUAUGAGUUAAAAGUUUGAUUUUGAUACUAAAAGAAGCUUCAAUUCAGAAAUUAUUAUUUUUAAGGCACAAAUUUAACAGAGAUAAAGCUUUAAACUCCUAAUCUUAUAAAAGCUUAUAAUUGUAAACUGUUAAAGAUAAGUAAGACUUGCCAAUUAACAGUCACCUUAUAAGUGAUCAGAUUCUUUAGUGUGUUCAGGUCGACUUGAACUCAAAUCAGGGUUAAGUUCCUCUUGCUGUCUUCUUGCUUACAGACCUCAUGAAUGCUCACUCUUCCUUAGGCCAUAUCUGAGUUUCUGAAGCUAGGCUCUUCAAGUGUCCCAUGUGUCCAGAUGAAUCACUUAACCUUGCUGCCUAGAUUCAGGAUGAGGAAGAGUACCCCAUGCUGAGGGGUGGCCUAAAUCCUGAUCCAUAUCCAUCUCUCCUCACCAACUCUUGAACUAAGGGGUGGACAUUUAUCUUCAUCAUUCCCCCAAAGUCCAAGGACACAUUCUUGAUCUCUCUGACCCUUAAGAUCACAUGUAUGGUGGUAGCCAAUUCUGCUGGUUUAUGAUGUGCACAUGGCUCAGAUGCAGGUCUGGGAAGAGCAAUAUAACAAUACCUUCCAUGUGGUCAGCACCCUCCUUAUCCUGUGCCAAGACUGGCUGAGAGGAAAGGCUCAGAUGCUUCAGGAACACACUAUGCCUCCACCCAAGGAACAGAUGACCAAGAUCAAAGUCACUUUUCACCUGCGUGAUCAUGGACUUUCAUCUCAGAGACAUUGAUAUGCAAUAACAUAGCCAUGGAAAACCAGAGCAGAACUUCAGGAACACCCCCACUGCUCAUGGACUCUAAUGGGUCCUUUUUCCUCCACAGGAAGUGGAGAAGAACAGGAGGCAAGGGGGAAAUGUUUUUACGUGCUCUGUGGUACACAAGAUCAUGCACAGACCACCACACAUAGAAGACCCUCUCCCAGACAGUGGAUCAAUGAGUGCGGCACUCAGUAAACCCUCCAAUUCCUAAGGCUACUGAUUCCCGUGUAUUCCUUCCCUCCACAUGAAUAAAUCACCCAGCACUGCCCUGGGACCCAGUGAA